CUCCCCCCACCCCCCCACCCCGGCCCGUCCUACACCAGCACCGGGCGAUGGGAAGGGGAUGCAGGAGCCCACCUCGGGGCGAGGUGGGGGGGGUGGAUGGAUCCUAGAAAACCCAGGGCCGUCUGGAGUGGAGAACUACGGCCAGAGAACCAACUCCUGGGACGGAUUUGGGUUGAACCAGCAGAUCCCCCAGGUUGAACCCCUUCUGCCGGGCUGAAUUUAGCAGCGGGAGAGAUAACCAGGAGAUAAGGGCUGAUACCCGGCAGGACAGCAGGAGACCGGCCGAGGGAAGGGGGAGAAGCUGGAGGCCGAGUCCUGCAGUGCUUCAGGAGCGGCCGCCUGCCCAACUGCGCCUGGUUUGGAUUCCCGUCUAUCUCUCUUCUCCAUGCAAGAUCUCCCGGAUUUCCCCUACCAGAGAAGCCCUGUGUUGAAUUUCUAGCGCACAUCACCUCUUUCUUUUCUUUUACUACAAAAAAAAGAGAGAAGAAUUUCGAUGGAAAACGGCUACGGCUCUGCUAGCAGCACCGCCAGGAGCAGAGAUCUCAAGGAGCGCCUUUGCUUUGCCUUUCCAAAUGACGACAAAACAGAGGCACAAAAAGCAGAACCCGGCCCCACGUCCCUGUGCGGGCAAAGCCCCGCAGAGCCGAGCAUCGAAAACGCUGCGGGGGCAAAGGAGCGGACGGGAGGAGGGUUGGGGGAAGCUGAGCUCUUGUCGCACCCCGCAAACAUUUAUGUAUCUUAAUCGUUGUAAUUAAAAACGAAAGCAGGAGUCGGGGAUGCGGCGGAGCGCGGGGAAAAUCCAUCUAUCGAUGAACGAAGAAAUCGACAAAUGAAGAAGUAAAAUCUCGAAGUGAAUCGAUGUGAUUUCGGGGAGCGACCUCCCGAAAAGAAAUCACGGCGCUGCAAACGAAACGGGGUCGGACGGCGCUCCGGGCAACGAACCGCGUCCUUCCCACGCUGCUCCUCAGCCGGGGGGCGGUCAGCGGCCGCUGCGGGGCCGUUUUCUCCCGCAUGGGAACGGUGGAUAACGAACAGCGAAAGAGAUCGGGGCUGGGGACGGAGGGAGAAAUCAUUUCCGAGUUGCUCCGCGGGUCCGAGCUGAGAAUUGUUUCAAAAUCGCGCACACAAACACACAAAUAAAAUGUUUAGGGAGGCAAACGAAGCGGGAGGGAAAUGUUUCAGCGUGGGGCAGGGGAUAAUUGGGUGAACGCAGCCGGCGGAUGAGCGGCUAAAUGGAUGGAUGGGUAAAUGCGCCAAACGCGCAGGGGUAUUUUUAAAGGAUUCUGGUUGUUAUUUCGAGCCGGGAGGGAUCUGUGUGCCCUGCGAGGGCCGUCGGAGGGGUCUGCAUAGAGCCGGCACAACCUGAGCCCGGCUG